UGUAAUAGGGACUUGAAGUCUUGCACUGACGUUAAUGAAAAUAACAGCGUAAAACAGUGACCAAUGGGCUGCCAGCUAUUGCACCCUUGAUUACAGUGAAAUUCACAUCUGUUUAAUAUUUCAGGCUCUUUAAGCAGGGGAGAGGCUGUCUCAGGGCACUGUGAAGGAGCAGGAGCUGGAUGCUGUACCUCACGGGCAUGUCUGAGCACAUGUGAGAUGGGGAUGAGCAGGGCCAGCCCCGUAAGGACGUCACCCUCAGCAGGUUAUUUUCAGGAGAAAGUGGCAAAGAUGGGAUCGCUGCCUGUGCUGUCCCAGGAUGAAGCCUAGGAGUGAACACAUUUCAUCAACCAGUUAUCAAACUGAACAGCACUUGCUGGCUCCUGUCUACAAGACUCGUUCUCAGGUCACUUUUGGUUUUAGCAGGAGAGUGCCUGGUAACAUCAAAUGUUUCCACAGGGUUUGCACGGGCUGUGAUCAACCACAUCUUCUACUUGCACAAGACUUGUGCAUGGGCCUCUUUCCAUCAUGAUCUGAGGUUCUGGGCAGAUUCACAGUGGCCUCUCCUGCAUGCUGAACAAAUUGCCAGCAAAGCCUCCCUGUUGAACUGUGAAAACUGAAGAGAGUAGCAGAAUUAAACUCCUUCUUUGGAAGACAUCUCUGUGAUUGAAGUACAUAAUCCAGUACGUGAUAUAUGUUGGAACGGCAUGCAAAACAACGACACGGAGGCAGGAGGUCUGCAGUGAAAAGCUGCUCCCCAAAAGAGGACACCUCCCAGUGACGUGACCCUCCCCGAGGUGCCGCAGGGAAGGUCACAGAGUGCAGCUGGAACACAGAAAAUCAACGUAGGAGAGAAAAGGACUGGAGGAAAUGUAAAGAGGAAGGGCUGGCCAACACCUUGCACUUCCUGCUUUUCUCUGUGGUAGUCCCAAAAGGCAUCACCUUCAGUGCAUUUAGGAUCCCUCCCCUCUCCUGGGCUGGGCCCUGUGGUGGGGAGCCAGAGCAAGGUGUGUUUCCUCAGAGGAUGCUCCUCCAGCCAGGACCCUCCUGCUCAAACAGGGCUCUGCAAAAGGGAAUUGCUCCUGAUGCUGCUGGAGAGACACAUCCUUGUGGAAAGGACCAGCCUGGGUAUUUUUUUAAAUACAGUCAUUAAGGGCAAAAGGAAUUUUUGUUUGCAUCAAUGUUCAUCAAAACAGAAAGUGGGUAUCUCUGGCAGUGAAUCAUAUCAGUUGUUCCUGACCUUUGGAAAGUGUCUGGUGUAUUUUGAAGUCACCUGGUGGACGAGACAAAACCUCAUUGAUGUGCACCAGCAGUUUCUGCUGAUGUAAAACAAGAAAUAAAUUACUGCUCUGAGGAAUAUUUGGAGUGUGCUCACACAACCUGAGCUACAUCAGUCACCAAUAUCCACUGAGCCUGGAUGAUAAAACACCGAGUUUCUGGAGCCAGAAGCUUGAUCUACGACUGAAUGUUUGCUGUGGAGAGUUUGCCAAGCUCCAGUCAUAGAAAAAUGUCAGUUGUGCAAGGAGAAAAACUCCAGUAAUGCUGUGAACAGACCUUCCUGAGAUCCCAGAAAUGAAGGGAAAAGGGGAAGGACUGCACUGGCACCAGCUUUGGCAACACAGCUGGUCCCUUCCCUCCCCACACUGUAAGAACGAAAUUGCAAAUAAAUGUCUGGGUUACUGCAAUUCAUGAGAUUCUUCUUUUAUCCUGCAUUCUCUAAACAUUCCAGGCAGCCAAAGAAGCUCAAAUACCACCCAUCCUCUGGCCUGCUCUGACAUCUGAGCUCCCAGCUGAGGGCCAGUCUGAAACUCUUUGGGAAAGCCUGGACCAGAGUCUGGGCUUUGGGGAAGCCUGCACUGCCUUUCCAGGCAGUGCUGGUGUUGGAGGAGGAUUCCCAGCCUGGUGUGGUCUGUGUCACACAGGGACUGCCACCCUGGCAGGGCAGCACUCGAGGGAAGUGCAUCCUAAUGAACUUUGCUAUUUGCCAGAUUGGCAGCUCCAUUGCUCCUUUAAUGUUUAAUGUGGAAAGGUCUGAGAACCCCAGGGGAGAACAGAGGCUGAGCACUCUGCUUAGGCAAAGUCUCUGUCCCAAAGAGCUUUAUAUUUAAAUAGAAAAGAUGGAUAAAUAGUGACAAGGAAGACACUUGAAGGAAAUGGCAUAAAGUCCAUAGCAGAAUGCAGCACAGAAAUAUCCUGUAAAUCCCGUAUCUCCUAUGCCCUGCCCCAGAGU